GGAAUAUUGGACAAUGGGCGAAAGCCUGAUCCAGCAAUGCCGCGUGAGUGAUGUAGGCCUUAGGGUUGUAAAGCUCUUUUACCCGGGAUGAUAAUGACAGUACCGGGAGAAUAAGCCCCGGCUAACUCCGUGCCAGCAGCCGCGGUAAUACGUAGGGGGCAAGCGUUGUCCGGAUUUAUUGGGCGUAAAGAGCGUGUAGGCGGCCGCACAGGUCCGUUGUGAAAACUGGAGGCUUAACCUUCAGACGUCGAUGGAAACCGUGCGGCUAGAGUCCGGAAGAGGAGAAUGGAAUUCCUGGUGUAGCGGUGAAAUGCGCAGAUAUCAGGAAGAACACCCGUGGCUAAGGCGGUUCUCUAGUACGGUACUGACGCUGAGACGCGAAAGCGUGGGGAGCGAAC
rnacentral:rRNA from 1 species